ACAUAUAAAGCAAAAUUGCAUUUAAUUUCGACCUAAAAGAUAAACUUAUACAAGUUUAUAUGUA
rnacentral:tRNA from 1 species